rnacentral:sRNA from 1 species
UGUGCAGGUAGACUCUGUGUUGGAGAAGGAGCUGAGAGUUCUACAUCUUGAUCAUCAGGCAGCAGAAGGGGACUGUCACACUGGGCAUAACUUGAGCGUAUAUGUAGCCUCAAAGCCCACCUCCACAGUGACACCCUUCCUCCAGCAAGGCCACACUUUCUCAUAGCCAUUCCCUAUGGCCAAGCAUUUAAAUACAUUCCCAUUCAAACCACACCAAUCAUCGUCAUGGUAUUUGGAGAGCUUUUGUUCCUCUCCUGGGGUGCAUGUUUAUACCACAUGUUCAUGCCUGUCUUUUUACCCCUCAGGCAUCCCGACAUCUCUGCUCAGGAGAGAGGAAUCAGAUGUCUGCUAGGGAAACAGCUCCCCAACGGAGACUGGCCUCAGGAGAACAUCUCUGGGGUCUUCAACAAGUCCUGUGCCAUCAGCUACACAAAUUACAGAAACAUCUUCCCCAUCUGGGCCCUGGGCCGCUUCUCCAGCCUGUAUCCUGACAAUACCCUUGCUGGCCACAUUUGAGCAUGUGUGCGCCUGUGCGGCACCUGGCCAGCGUCAGCACUGUACAGGCCCAGGCAGCCCGGUUUCUCAGCUGGGUGAUAAGCGUCCUCCUAGCCCACUUUGGCAUGGUUCUCUAUUUCUGUAGACAUGAGGCUGGGGAUAGGGUCAGAGUCGGUGUCUAGACACUGGGCAGCAUGCGCUCGGUUCUGACGCUAGCUUCAGUGAGGAAGGGAAGAAGUUGAGCCUGAGAUCCAGAGAGGCACAGUGUACUCCGAGGCUCCUGGGUGUCCUCCUUGAGGGAACAAGACUGUAGAGCUUUCAUGAUCAGUGACUUCCCUGUGAGGGAGCAGCUGGCUUCUUCACUUCCUCCCUUGUUGACUGUGGAGUGGGCCCCGUGGUGCAGGCAUGCUCAGAGAAAGGCUCAAUGGAGGAGGCAGGCCCCUUGCUCAUUGUGUCCUGAGCAGUGUCUGUUGUCCCAGACACUUACCCAUGACUGCAUCACUGCACGAAAUACCAGUUUUCCAGAAAGGAAGUACAAACUCGCUCUGUACUAAAAAUGCUACUAAAAGUCGUUUGAAUGAUCACCAACUCCCUUAAUAAACAGACCCUGGGCUGAUGGCCCAGUAGUAAAGAAAGUCGGCUGCUCUUUCAGAGGACCUGGGUCUGAUUCCCAGCCCCCACCUGGUGGCUAACGACUUGUAAUUCCAGUUCUCAGGGAACCCAGUGUCAUCUUCUGGCCUCUGGGCACUGCACACACGGUACCUAGACAUACAUACACUCAACACCUAUACAUAUAAAAUAAACCCCGAAAAUAAAAUAUUAAAAAACCAAACAGCCCCCCUUCCUGAGACAUUUCAUCCUGGAGUAUCCUGAGUCUGUGGCAAGGAGCCAGAUGUAGCAUCCAGUUGUGCCCCUGGGUUCUGAGCUUUUCCACAUCGCAAUGGUUUCUGGGAUAUCAGCAUCCUGAUAUCCAAGUGUUUCAGUCUUCUUGUUGAGAUAGAGAAGCACACAUGGGAAGACAUUGGGGUAGAUAUUGGUUAUAGCAGUUCCUGCCAUGGGACAGUGCUAGAGCAAGGACUCUGAUCUCCACUCACCACUUAGACCCACCGAGCCAGCCAGGAAAAUGCCCAUGACACCCAAAGCCUUAUCAGCCCGUAUGCCAGCUGUGCCUUGAGUCCAAGUGAGGGCCAUUUCUGAGGCAAUCCUUAGGUGUGAACUGAUUCUAACUGGCCAGCAUGCAGACAGAGUCUAGGGUGGAACUAUGUGUCUCCUUGAAGUUACUCCUUUUCUCCUUGAUGAGCAGGGUCCAGCUGGAUGCCUCCUUAGUCUAAUGUUCCACACCCCUAGUGCUUUCUGCCCUGGGAGCUCCAACCUCUUCCUGGCCCAUAGUUUUCCCUGGGACAAGCAGAGAGCUGUGUCUGAACCCCUUUCCUCUGUGCAGGACCCUCUAGGGCAGCCAUUUGCCAUGAUACAGGUUCUCUGGGCCUUGAGCCCGCUGCCUCCUGCCCGGCUCCUACAUGGACACCUUCUGCUGUGACUCAGGGCUUUCCUGCCUUAGACUGUGGCCUGUGGUGUUCACAGCACUGCCUUCCUAGACCCUGCUAGUAGUAGAACUGAUGAGUUAGUUCCCUAGCUCUGCCCCUGGCAGUCGCAGCCAUCCCUUGGAAUUCCCGGCCGCGGUUUGCAGACAGCUGGUGAAGCAUGCGUUAGGCUGUAGUAGAUCACACUGCAGAGUUCCCAGCAUGUGCUGGAGUACGAGCCCCAGUUUAGGGAGUUCUCUGGACUCUGGGGAGCUGGUGGGGGACACUCACUGGAUACCUGUCUAGAACAAGUUCUUAAGUAUUCUUAAAAUGAGUUUGUGCCAGUGCUUGUCAGGAAUAAUUUGGAAUGGGCUGACGGCUUUUCCUGUGGAUUCACAGUGGAUUUUCUCUGUUAACUGUGAUGUGGACUUCAACACUCUGUUGUGAGGGGUUCUUUAGUGAGGAAUGUUGACUCCCCCUGCCCCCGUGAAGCAGUUUUCCUGUGUGGUAUUCACCAUGACGUGAUCUUCACUACUGGUCCAGGAUGGCCUCAAGCUUGAGGGCAGUCCUCCUGCUUCCGCCUCCUGAGUGUUGGGAUUACAGGCAUGUGCUACCAUUCCUGCUCAAGGGCUCGAUGGCUACGCCUCUCUGACAAAAUAUUUUUUUCCUUCUAGAAUACGACUUAUUGCUAAGUAGAAUUAAAUUUACUAAGAUGUUUUUUUUUAAAUAAAUUUUUGCUAUAUGCUG